rnacentral:rRNA from 1 species
CCCUUAGAUGUUCUGGGCUGCACGCGCGCUACACUGAUGCAUCCAACAAGUUUUUUCCUUGUUCGAGAGGACUAGGUAAUCUUAUGAGAAUGCAUCGUGAUGGGGAUAGAUUAUUGCAAUUAUUAAUCUUCAACGAGGAAUACCUUGUAAGCGUGAGUCAUCAUCUCACGCUGAAUACGUCCCUGCCCUUUGUACACACCGCCCGUCGCUCCUACCGAUUGAGUGUUCCGGUGAGGCUUUGGGAGAAUGGCCUCAACAUGAGUUUAUCGUGUUUUGCCGUUUGAACUUAGUCAAACCUUAUCACUUAGAGGAAGGAGAAGUCGUAACA